ACUGAAAGGACCUUGGCGAUAUAGGGGAUCAGCGGCAGGUUCAGGAUCAACAGAACUAGGUUGCCGAUAAACAUCGACAUGAUCACCGCCCAGAAAAUCUGUGGCUCAUCCAGCAUCAGCCGUGGGCC
rnacentral:ncRNA from 1 species